UUUUAGGUUUUUUUCAUGUUGUCACAACUUUAACAAAAUUUUAAAGUCUAACAACAAAUUGUUCAUUGUUUACAAAGAUAGUAAUAGGAUAAGAAGUACUUUGAGGCUUGUUGUCGAACAAAUGAACUUCUCAAUGACUUUACUUUUAUAAAAAUUUGAGUGAUAAAAUCCUUAUACAUUUUCGAUGAAAUUUUGUUUCUCAUCCCCUUUCCGUUUAUGUUUUCAUAUUUUCUACUUGCAUCACCAUAACAUUAUCCCCACCAAUUACGUGUAGGGAUGCUACCUCGCCA
rnacentral:lncRNA from 1 species